GAGUUUGAUCAUGGCUCAGAACGUACGCUGGCGGCACGCCUAACACAUGCAAGUCGAACGAAGUAGCAAUACUUAGUGGCAGACGGGUGAGUAACAUGUAGGUAUCUGCCCUUUGGCCUGGAAUAACACGAGGAAACUUGUGCUAAUACCGGAUAAGUCUUUACGGAGAAAGCUUUAUGCACCAUUGGAUGAGCCUGCACUUGAUUAGUUUGUUGGUGGGGUAAUGGCCUACCAAGACUGUGAUCAAUAGCUGAUUUGAGAGGAUGAUCAGCCACAUUGGGACUGAGGCACGGCCCAAACUCCUACGGGAGGCAGCAGUGGGGAAUCUUGCACAAUGGAGGAAACUCUGAUGCAGCGAUGCCGCGUGAGUGAAGAAGGCCUUUGGGUUGUAAGGCUCUUUCGUCGGGGAAGAAAAUGACUGUACCCGAAUAAGAAGGUCCGGCUAACUUCGUGCCAGCAGCCGCGGUAAUACGAAGGGACCUAGCGUAGUUCGGAAUUACUGGGCUUAAAGAGUUCGUAGGUGGUUGAAAAAGUUGGUGGUGAAAUCCCAGAGCUUAACUCUGGAACUGCCAUCAAAACUUUUCAGCUAGAGUAUGAUAGAGGAAAGCAGAAUUUCUAGUGUAGAGGUGAAAUUCGUAGAUAUUAGAAAGAAUACCAAUUGCGAAGGCAGCUUUCUGGAUCAUUACUGACACUGAGGAACGAAAGCAUGGGUAGCGAAGAGGAUUAGAUACCCUCGUAGUCCAUGCCGUAAACGAUGUGUGUUAGACGUUGGAAAUUUAUUUUCAGUGUCGCAGCGAAAGCGAUAAACACACCGCCUGGGGAGUACGACCGCAAGGUUAAAACUCAAAUGAAUUGACGGGGACCCGCACAAGUAGUGGAGCAUGUGGUUUAAUUCGAAGAUACGCGCAGAACCUUACCAACACUUGACAUGUUCGUCGCGACUCUAAGAGAUUAGAGUUUUCGGUUCGGCCGGACGAAACACAGGUGCUGCAUGGCUGUCGUCAGCUCGUGUCGUGAGAUGUUGGGUUAAGUCCCGCAACGAGCGCAACCCUCACUUUUAGUUGCCAUCAUUAAGUUGGGCACUCUAAAGAACUGCCAGUGAUAAGCUGGAGGAAGGUGGGGAUGACGUCAAGUCCUCAUGGCCCUUACGUGUUGGGCUACACACGUGCUACAAUGGUAUCUACAACAGGAAGCAAGACUGCGAGGUCAAGCAAAUCCUUAAAAGAUACCUCAGUUCGGAUUGCACUCUGCAACUCGAGUGCAUGAAGCUGGAAUUACUAGUAAUCGUGGAUCAGCGUGCCACGGUGAAUGCGUUCCCGGGUCUUGUACACACCGCCCGUCACACCAUGGGAGUUGGUUCUACCUUAAGGCAAGGUUUAAAACCCUUGACCACGGUAUAGUCAGCGACUGGGGUGAAGUCGUAACAAGGUAACC
rnacentral:rRNA from 1 species